AAAUUUAAUAGAGAAUGUUGCUCUAGAUUAAGGUGAUAAAGUAAAACAAAUUACAAAUGCAUUUGGGUGCAAGUGCACUUGGUAUGAAGGCCUUGGGUGAGUCAUUUUGGGUUUCAUCAAAAGAUGACGAUUGUAAACUGUGUGGACUAGUUUGAAAUUUUUGGGUGUGCAGAACCACCUUUUCAUUCUUCUAUUCGUAAGAUGUCCUUGCAGAGAAAUUUUAAUCAGAAACUUUCAGAAACAUGAAAAAAAACACUUGAAACGUCGUGUGAUCAUAUUUUACUGCUCUCCUUCUUGGGCAUGGAGUUUGCUUGACACUAACCAUCUGUUUUCUUAUGAACAAAACAAAAAAAAAAUCAUCUAUGUUUUGUUUUAAGAAGUCUCAAAGCUUAAAUACUCUUGUAUUGGAAAGAUAAUAGUUUUAUGAUUUUAUAAGUGGAAGAGGAUUCCAUGUUUUAUAAUUCUGUAGUUUAGACUAACAAUAUACUUAACUUGUAUUUCCAGGUCUCGCUUUUACAUUUAGCUGAUAUCACUGAAAAGGGCGUAACAUUUCAGUCACCGGUAGAUGGAAAACCAAUGCUUCUAACACCAGAGGAGUCAAUCCAAAUCCAAAACAGAAUAGGAGCAGAUAUCAUUAUGGCACUUGAUGAUGUUGUCAAAACCACCAUUACUGGGCCACGAAUUGAGGAGGCUAUGUAUCGCACCCUUCGCUGGAUUGACAGAUGUAUAGCAGCUCACAAGAGGCCACAAGAUCAGAACUUAUUUGGCAUUGUACAGGGUGGUUUAGAUCCUGUCCUAAGGGAUAUAUGCGUUAGAGGCCUGGUUGACCGGAAUUUACCUGGGUAUGCUAUUGGUGGUCUUGCAGGAGGUGAAGAUAAAGAUUCAUUUUGGCGUGUUGUUGCUCAAUGCACUGCAGCAUUGCCUGAAGAUAAACCAAGAUAUGUCAUGGGUGUUGGCUAUCCAUUGGAUAUUGUAGUUUGCAGUGCUCUUGGUGCUGACAUGUAUGACUGUGUUUAUCCUACUCGAACUGCUCGAUUUGGCACUGCUUUGGUUCCCGAGGGAGUUCUGAAGCUCAAACACAAUGCAAUGGCUGAUGAUACUCGCCCAAUUGACCCUUCAUGUCCUUGUAUGGUCUGCAAGAACUAUACAAGAGCUUAUAUACAUUGUCUUGUCACAAAAGAUGCCAUGGGGUCUCAGCUUCUGUCAUAUCACAAUUUGUAUUACAUGAUGAAGCUUAGCAGGGAUCUGCAUUCCUCGAUAAUUGAAGGAAGGUUUCCAGAUUUCCAAAAGGUGACAUCCCAGAGUGGGUUUGCAAUGCAAUGGAGGUUGCUGGAAUUGAUAUUUCUUCUUGCUGUGCUCCAUUUUCACCAUCCCGUGAUUAGAUUUAACAUGUUGAGAGAAAGUAGGAGUAUUCGAUUUCUGACAUUGAAGAAUUUGGUCUAUAGGUGACAACACAUACCACAUGGCAUAAAUUUUGUAGCUCAUAUGCCCACUUAGGAAGAUUAUAGCCAGUUGACAAAAUCUUGCUGUCUUCUCCAGAAAUUUCUUCCCCCUUUAACUGAUAUACAUACUGCUAAACAUGAGUUAUAGGAGAAAGCUCCAUGAAGAUGAGGCAAAGUCAAAAGACAAGGUGGAAACAGAGUGAAAGGUAACCCAAAAUAGCUUGCCUGUGAUACUCUAUUUGUGGCCGUGAAGGGUAUGUGACAAAACCUACUAGUGCCUAAUAAGCACUGUUAAAUUCUUAAUCCCAAAGGUUUCGAGCUGUAAACCAACUGAUAGACAGACGCCUCUCCU